UCGCGGUAUGGGAUGGGGUCGCGUCCUAUCAGCUUGACGGCGGGGUAACGGCCCACCGUGGCUUCGACGGGUAGCCGGCCUGAGAGGGCGACCGGCCACAUUGGGACUGAGAUACGGCCCAGACUCCUACGGGAGGCAGCAGUGGGGAAUAUUGCACAAUGGGCGCAAGCCUGAUGCAGCGACGCCGCGUGAGGGAUGGAGGCCUUCGGGUGGUAAACCUCUUUUAUCGGGGAGCAAGCGAGAGUGAGUUUACCCGUUGAAUAAGCACCGGCUAACUACGUGCCAGCAGCCGCGGUAAUACGUAGGGUGCAAGCGUUAUCCGGAAUUAUUGGGCGUAAAGGGCUCGUAGGCGGUUCGUCGCGUCCGGUGUGAAAGUCCAUCGCUUAACGGUGGAUCCGCGCCGGGUACGGGCGGG
rnacentral:rRNA from 1 species